GAUAAGUUUUAUUCUUGCUUUGUCGUUCAGUUUUAUGUUUGUUUUAUAUGUAAGUUUUUGCGUGAUUUUUGGUGAUUCUUGAUGGGUCAUUAUGAUUACUUAUUAUUCUCAUUAUUUGUUAUUGGUUGAUCAGGUAGCUUUGUAUUCAGCAAUACAUUUUAGUUUCGGUUAAAUUUUGUGCCAGCAGCCGCGGUUAUACCUUGGAGGCAUUUGAAUGUGUUCGGCUUUGGUAGUUGUAUAUUUUUUUGUUUGAUUAUAUUUCAAUAGUUGUUAGGUGAAAUUUUUAUUGUUGUUAUUUGUCUUUUAUUUAUUUGGAGGCUAUGAAAUUCUUUUUGUAGACUAGGAUUAGAUACCCUAUUAUUUUAGAAUGUUAAUUUUUGUUUGCUUGAGUAGUAUUAGUUAUGUUCUUGAAACUUAAAGAAUUUGGCGGUAUCUCAUUCCGUUCAGAGGAAUCUGUCUCGUUAUCGAUAGUCCGCGUUGGACCUUACUUAGUUGCUUUGGUUUGUAUACCGCCGUUUAUUGAUUAUCUUUUUAGAGGUUUUAAUUUUCUUUAUUUUUUAUUUUGAUUUAUUUCAGGUCAAGGUGCAGCUUGUUUCUAAGUGAAUGAUGGAUUACAUUAUUAUUUGUUUUUGGAUUGUUUUAUUUGAAUUUGGGCAUGAAAUUGGAUUUGGUUGUAAUAAUUUGUAGAUUGUUAUUAUGAUAAUUGGUUCUGAGAUAUGCACACAUCGCCCGUCGCUCUCGUUUAUUAAUGAGAUAAGUCGUAACAAAGUGGUUGUACCGGAAGGUGCGGCUGGAUUGAU
rnacentral:ncRNA from 1 species